rnacentral:rRNA from 1 species
AUUGAACGCUGGCGGCAGGCCUAACACAUGCAAGUCGAGCGGAUGGAGGGAGCUUUCUCCUGGAUUCAGCGGCGGACGGGUGAGUAAUGCCUAGGAAUCUGCCUGGUCUUGGGGGCUAACGUCCGGACACGGGCGCUAAUACCGCAUCCGUCCAUAGGGAGAAAGGGAGGGUUCUUCGGACCUCGCGCGAUCAGCUGAGCCUAGGUCGGAUUGGCUAGUUGGUGGGGUAAAGGCUUACCAAGGCGACGUUCCGUAGCUGACAUGCGAGGGUGAUCGGCCACACUGGAACUGAGACACGGUCCAGACUCCUACGGGAGGCAGCAGUAGGGAAUCUUGCGCAAUGGGCGAAAGCCUGACGGAGCAACGCGGCGUGUGUGAAGAAGGUCUUCGGAUCGUAAAACUCUUUUAUUAGGGAGGAAGAAAAGUGUUAGUAUCUAUGCAUGUCUUGACGGUACCAAAUGAAAAAGCCCCGGCUAACUACGUG